rnacentral:rRNA from 1 species
UACGUAGGGUGCGAGCGUUGUCCGGAAUUAUUGGGCGUAAAGAGCUCGUAGGCGGUUUGUCGCGUCUGCUGUGAAAACCCGAGGCUCAACCUCGGGCCUGCAGUGGGUACGGGCAGACUAGAGUGCGGUAGGGGAGAUUGGAAUUCCUGGUGUAGCGGUGGAAUGCGCAGAUAUCAGGAGGAACACCGAUGGCGAAGGCAGAUCUCUGGGCCGUAACUGACGCUGAGGAGCGAAAGCAUGGGGAGCAAACAGG